rnacentral:rRNA from 1 species
GAAAUGCGAUAACUAGUGUGAAUUGCAGAAUUCAGUGAAUCAUCGAGUCUUUGAACGCACAUUGCGGCCGCCGGUAUUCCGGCGGCCAUGCCUGUCCGAGCGCCACUAAUACCCUCAGAACUAUUUUUCUGGCGUUGGGCGACUGUCUUGUAAAGGCGGUUACCUGAAAAUUAGUGGCGGCGGCGCUCGCGGCGCGACGUACUCAGUAAUACCUACUAGCACGAAGUCCCGGCGUUUUCCGGCCGUCUAUCAAACCCUUUUCCUAUGCAAAGUGGUUGGCCUCGGAUCAGGUAGGAUUACCCGCUGAACUUAA